AGGGAUUGCCUCAGUAACGGCGAGUGAAGCGGCAACAGCUCAAAUUUGAAAUCUGGCCUAGCCCGAAUUGUAAUUUGCAGAGGAUGCUUUUGGUGAGGUACCUUCCGAGUUCCCUGGAACGGGACGCCAUAGAGGGUGAGAGCCCCGUACGGUUGGAUGCCGAGCCUCUGUAAAGCUCCUUCGACGAGUCGAGUAGUUUGGGAAUGCUGCUCUAAAUGGGAGGUAAAUUUCUUCUAAAGCUAAAUACCGGCCAGAGACCGAUAGCGCACAAGUAGAGUGAUCGAAAGAUGAAAAGCACUUUGAAAAGAGGGUUAAAUAGCACGUGAAAUUGUUGAAAGGGAAGCGUUUAUGACCAGACAUUACCCGGUAAGGAUUACCCUCCGGGUGAGGCCAACAUCGAUUUUCUCAGGGGGACAAAGGUUUAGGGAACGUAGCUCCUCGGAGUGUUAUAGCCCUUUUCGUAAUACCCUUGGGGGGAUCGAGGUACGCGCUCUGCAAGGAU
rnacentral:rRNA from 1 species